rnacentral:rRNA from 1 species
GGGUCCGGACACACUGAGGAUUGACAGGCGCUUGUAGUUAUGAGAUUAUUAAUUUAUUAAUAAUUAAAUUUCUGCUAUAAAUAUGCUAGUCCUUUCAUGAUUGUGUGAUAGGUGGUGCAUGGCCGUUCUUAGUUCGUGGAGUGAUCUGUCUGCUUAAUUGCGUUUCACUGUGGACAUUGUUAUAAUAGUGUGUGCACGCAUAACUUCGGUUAUGAUGUUGCCUACUGUUCCAAAUGUCCUGAAGGCAACGAACGUGACCGCAACCUCUUGUUGCCUCUUCCAAAUACUUAUUUUAUUAUCUUUUUUGAUAAUUGAGAUCGGUUUAUAGAGGCUAACUAGAGGGACCGCUGACAACUUUUAAAACAGAGGAAGGUUGCGGCAAUAACAGGUCUGUGAUGCCCUUAGAUGUUCCGGGCUGCACACGUGCUACAAUGAUUAUUGCACUGAGCAUCUAAUUUUAUUAAAAGUUCGUUUGGUUUAAUUUGAUCUUAACAGAUUAAAUAAAACUAACGACAUUUCCUACUUCGAAAGUAAGUAGGU